GGAUCCAGACUUUGAUUAUGGCUCAGGACGAACGCUGGCGGCGUGCUUAACACAUGCAAGUCGUACGAGACGAUUGAAAGCUUGCUUUUGAAAGUCGAGUGGCAAACGGGUGAGUAACGCGUAGACAACCUGCCGUAAAGAUGGGGACAACAGUCCGAAAGGACUGCUAAUACCGAAUGUUGUGGAACUUCCGCAUGGGAGCUCCACUAAAGAUGGCCUCUACUUGUAAGCUAUCGCUUUACGAUGGGUCUGCGUCUGAUUAGCUAGUUGGUGGGGCAACGGCCUACUAAGGCGACGAUCAGUAGCCGGUCUGAGAGGAUGAACGGCCACAUUGGAACUGAGACACGGUCCAGACUCCUACGGGAGGCAGCAGUGGGGAAUCUUCCGCAAUGGGCGCAAGCCUGACGGAGCAACGCCGCGUGAGUGAAGAAGGGUUUCGACUCGUAAAGCUCUGUUGUCGGGGACGAACGUGGAGAUGGUGAAUAACCAUUUCCAAUGACGGUACCUGACGAGGAAGCCACGGCUAACUACGUGCCAGCAGCCGCGGUAAUACGUAGGUGGCGAGCGUUGUCCGGAAUUAUUGGGCGUAAAGGGAGCGCAGGCGGGAGAUCAAGUCUAUCUUAAAAGUGGGGGGCUCAACCCCGUGAGGGGAUGGAAACUGGUCUUCUUGAGUGCAGGAGAGGAAAGCGGAAUUCCUAGUGUAGCGGUGAAAUGCGUAGAUAUUAGGAGGAACACCAGUGGCGAAGGCGGCUUUCUGGACUGUAACUGACGCUGAGGCUCGAAAGCGUGGGGAGCGAACAGGAUUAGAUACCCUGGUAGUCCACGCCGUAAACGAUGAAUGCUAGGUGUAGGAGG
rnacentral:rRNA from 1 species